rnacentral:rRNA from 1 species
AUUGAACGCUGGCGGCAUGCCUUACACAUGCAAGUCGAACGGUAACAGGUCUUCGGACGCUGACGAGUGGCGAACGGGUGAGUAAUACAUCGGAACGUGCCCAGUCGUGGGGGAUAACUACUCGAAAGAGUAGCUAAUACCGCAUACGAUCUGAGGAUGAAAUCGGGGGACCUUCGGGCCUCGCGCGAUGGGGGCGGCCGGUGGCAGAUUAGGUAGUUGGUGGGAUAAAAGCUUACCAAGCCGACGAUCUGUAGCUGGUCUGAGAGGACGACCAGCCACACUGGGACUGAGACACGGCCCAGACUCCUACGGGAGGCAGCAGUGGGGAAUUUUGGACAAUGGGCGAAAGCCUGAUCCAGCAAUGCUGCGUGCAGGAUGAAGGCCUGCGGGUUGUAAACUGCUUUUGUACGGAACGAAAAAGCUCCUUCUAAUACAGGGGGCCCAUGACGGUACCGUAAGAAUAAGCACCGGCUAACUACGUGCCAGCCGCCGCGGUAA